UACGUAGGGCGCAAGCGUUAUCUGGAAUUAUUGGGCGUAAAGAGCUCGUAGGCGGUUUGUCGCGUCUGCCGUGAAAGUCCGGGGCUCAACUCCGGAUCUGCGGUGGGUACGGGCAGACUAGAGUGAUGUAGGGGAGACUGGAAUUCCUGGUGUAGCGGUGAAAUGCGCAGAUAUCAGGAGGAACACCGGUGGCGAAGGCGGGUCUCUGGGCCGAUACUGACGCUGAGGAGCGAAAGCGUGGGGAGCAAACAGG
rnacentral:rRNA from 1 species